GACGAACGCUGGCGGCGUGCUUAACACAUGCAAGUCGAACGGGCCCGCCCCUGUUUUUGGGGGUGGGUUGAGUGGCGAACGGGUGAGUAUCACGUGAGUAACCUGCCCCCUGCUCCUGGAUAACUGCUUGAAAGGGCGGCUAAUACGGGGUGUGCCGGCUGGUCCGCAUGGGCCUGGUCGGGAUAGUUUCUUCUUCGGGUGUUUCGGUGGGGGAUGGGCUCGCGGCCUAUCAGCUUGUUGGUGGGGUGAUGGCCCACCAAGGCGGUGACGGGUAGCCGGCCUGAGAGGGUGGGCGGCCACACUGGGACUGAGACACGGCCCAGACUCGGGCGGGAGGCAGCAGGGGGGGGUAUUGCACGAUGGGCGGAAGCCUGAUGCAGCGACGUCGCGUGAGGGAUGGAGGCCUUCGGGUUGUGAACCUCUUUCUCCGGUGGUGAAGGCCCUGUCCGGUGCGGCGGGGUUGACGGUAGCCGGGUAUGAAGCGCCGGCUAACUACGUG
rnacentral:rRNA from 1 species